rnacentral:ncRNA from 1 species
ACCCGUGAACUGUGGGGCACACCUGUCUCCCCCUGCAGAUCCGGGUGCGGGGCAACCCGUUUAGCCGAUUCUCAAGGAG